rnacentral:lncRNA from 1 species
AAAUCUAUCCUUCACCAUCCUGCUCUACCAUAAUGAAAGCAGAGCCCAUAAAAUUUCUCCCUUGCCAGCUUAUAUGAUAAAUUUUGUCCCUAAAAGGCAGUGUGUAGUCUGGAGGAAAAAGGGUUUUUCUUCCUGGUUUUAUGAUACUUUCUCUCCUUUUGCUCCUAUGACUGUGGCUACCAGCUGCAUGUUUGCAUAACAUCCUGCGGUAUUUACCCUCCAGCAAGUUUUUGUUAGCUGUCCGGAUCCCUGUUACAUGCCUUCCGGUAUCUAGCUCCAGCACUCUGGAAUGAAAACUCUUCCUCCUGGCCAGUCACAGCGUGAGAUCCAUCCUCGCCAAUUUCAACUUGCUAGUUUUAGAACUGCCCUGUCCUAGGGCCACCCACAAUUGUUGAAUUGUCAUUUUAAACACCUUCAAAGACUAGAAGAAAUUAAUUCAUCGUGGAAAUAUUCAUUUUAUUCAGCACUUAGAAAUAACAGUUCUUGAUAAUAUUAUGAUUUAUAAUUUAUACAUGGUGUAUUUUAAUGAAUUGCAGGUGUUUAAGAAAUAAGUAACAUAGCAGGGCGCGGUGGCUCAUGCCUGUAAUCCCUCACGCCUACAAUCCCUCACGCCUGUAAUCUCAGCAGUUUGGGAGGCCGAGGUGGACAGAUUGCUUGCGGUAAGGAGUUUGAGACCAGCGUAGCCAACAUGGCGAAACCCCAUCUCUACGAAAAAUUAGCCAGGCAUGGUGGUGAGUGCCUGUAGUCCCAGCUACUUCGGAGGUGGAGGCCGAAGAAUUGCUUGAGCCUGGAAGGCUGAGAUCUCAGUGAGCCGAGACUGCCACUGCACGGGUGACAGAGCGAGCCUCUGUCUCAAAGAAAGAAAGAGUAUGUACCUGGAUAUGUAUUUUUAAAAUAAUGUAAAGAUUUAAAAAUAGUUCGAAGAACCUAAUUGUAUGGCUUUUGAAGCAACUAGAAGUAUGUUCUUUACAGAUGGUGGGAGUAAUGUUAUAUUAAGUUUGUGUAAGCUAUAACACUUAAGUGUUUAUAAGCAUGUUUAUAAGCUGGUGUUUACAAGCAUGUUUUUAUUUCCGAACAAAAUUCAAAAGAAGUUUGUCUUUGUAAAAAUUCAGAUGUGCACAGUUCUUGUUCCUCUCUGAAGAUAUUGGAAAUGUAUUGCUAAUACUGGUAAUAUAUAACAAUUUUUUUAUGAAUAGAUGACUUAUUUAAUAGUUACGUAUCUAAAUCUGAAUAUUUUCUAUAUAAUUUGUCUAUGGAAACAAAUAUUUAUACAAUUGUUCACAUAUUGCUCUUUUCUUUGUAAUGUUAUUCCUUCUAGGUAUAAAAUAUAGACGUUCUCAAGAAGAUUAGUGUUUGCAAUAGAAAGCUGGGCCAUUUGGCCACACCUGCAAAUGAUUAUUGGUUUUGCGGGAGACUGCAAUCCAUAAAAAAUUACUGGCAGAGUUUGAGAAUUUGUAUAAGAAAACAAAUUUUAUGAGAUGCAAAAUCAAUACUAUUAUACUAAUUUAAAUUUUGUAAUAGCAAAGCUAAUUCUUGUUACUUUUCAGUCUUUCAAUUCACUAAGAUAAUGAGUGUUACGCACUGAACACAUACAAAUGUAUUGCUGUGACUGAAUGAAGAGGACAAAUUAACAAAGCAAUUCCGAGGCCCUGGAAAUUGAUCAAAGGCUAAUAAUCAUUUGUGAACUAUUUAUUCUUGGAAAAACUGCUAGAGAUUCAAGGAAGAGUGCAGCAAAUUUGUAGUAAGUUUACCUAGUGCUGCUCCCGUGCCUUCUGCCCACCCACCACACCCAGCACAGUGAGUAACAGUUGCAGUUUUUACAGCUGGGGGAAAAUCAACAGUGUUUUUUGCCACAAGGACAGACUUGAUUAGCGGUCAGAGGUUGGGGCAUAGUGUAACAGACCACUGCUUUUCAACUGAAAGUGCUGAAUUUUGCAGGAAAUGAAUGAGAAAACCCCAUUUUUUGUUGUUUUUUAUUUUUUUUAGUCUGAGGUGUAGUCUCCUCUGGGGCAAGAACAGUGCCAGCCAUAAAUAUAACAAAAUCCUAAACAUGAGAGUGCAAUAGACCUCAUGACAUUAGCCCUCUACAUAUUCUUUAAAUUUUUUUUUAAAUUGACACAUUGUAAUUGUACAUAUUUAUGGGGUACAACUUGAUGUUCAAUACAUAUAUAUGUUACAUUAAAUAAUCAAAUCAGGG